UCACCGAACACACACUUCCACACGCACACUGAGGGUGCAGUCACACACCAAACACACACAGGGACUCACAGAUCCUAGAGUGCAGAGAUAGAAAUGACUUACGGGGUCCCCAAUCCAUUUCAGGGGCCAGGGCAGGUUAGUCCCUACACACACCUCAGCUAGUUUUAACAAGCCCAAACAAAGGGGCUCUGGUACCUCCGGCUCUGCCAACUCCAACCCUUCAAAACUCAAACGAUUGGCUUUAAAACCAUGAGAUUUUAAAAACACUCAAUUCUGGGAUUCUUUUUAUUUCUCUUCCGGGCGUGGGUGUCUUUGGGGUCACCUUUCCCAGCUCUCCCCUGCAGCUGUGAGGCUUUUAAAAAGUGAGUCUCAUGCAACCCCUUGAGUGCAGGGGCUUGGAGAAAAGCACCAGGCUAUCGCAAGCCUCAGGCUAAAGUCACAAGCCGUUGUAACACCUCGCUGCCCGGGGAGGACACCUCAAUCUCCUGUAGCCCAGGGGCCAUGCAGACUCCUGGGGCUUUCACCCAGCUCGGACCUGGAGACCUACCCAACUCCUAGCGCCCCAAUGUGCGGAGCAUCGAAACGCACACCCCCAAUAGGAGCUGAAUACGCAGAAACACAGAGUCAGCCCUUCCCCUUUCCAAGCUGCUGGAGCACUUGAGUGAGGAUGAGCUGUCAGGCAGAUAUGCCUCAUGCCAGCUCAGCACACGAGUGGCCGGAAAAUCAGAGAUUUUAGACCUGCAACCACCUGCUUUCCACAGCCUCCGGAGUGAUUUAACACCCACUCUUUGGAAAAGGAGCCCAAAUCGCCACCGCAGCUGGGCAAAUGGACGUUGGACAAUAACUUCUUCAGGACAGAGACCGUCUCUCACUGUGUGUCCGUUCAGAACCCAGCAUGCUCCAGGCCUGAUUGCAACCUUUGGAUUCUACUGUAAUAAAAACACUUCCAUACAAACUUGUGGUCAAAAAAAUUCAGAUUGCAAAGUCCAGCACUUGGCAGUUAGGAAAUGCCAGAACGAAGGUUGCCCAGGCAACUUUCACUGGCUCCCUUUGUACGUAUGGAUGCCAACGAUACAAUCUUUAAUGACAUGAUCACAUACUAUUUUGUUUGUCGCUGGACCCUCCCUCGAUCGCUCAGUGCACAGAAUGGAUAGCACUCACAGAAGAGGCAGGUAUUUGACAUUUCUUUGUAUCCUGCUCAUUCAAAGGGCAGCCCAGGUCUUAUUUAACACACCCCCUCCAAAACCGGCACUGAAUCUAGAAUUAUUAAUUUCCCGCUGGAUGCUUCUGUUGGGCGUUCACCAGAGUACCCGUGUGCUUCACAGACAUUCAGGAAUUUAUCUUCACAACCUCUUCACAUGAGGGGCUGCCGUUAGCUUUGUUUUUCUGAUGGAGAACCUAAGCCCAGUGAGAUUAAGGCCCAAAGUGUCCACUAACUUCGAGUGCCCAACUUGAGAUAACUAGGGCCUGGCAAUCUUCACAGGAUUUAGCAUUUUUACCAUGAUAUGCUCGGGGCACAGCUCCUUGUGUCUUCUGCUGCAGCUGUGAGUGUCCAGCACUGCUGCACCUCAGACGCCCCACCUGUCUCAAACUGGGCACCUAGACACCAAGGAAUACACCAUUAGUGACCGCUGGUGAAACGUUUGAUUUAAGUGACUCGCCUGGUAUCAUCCAGGAAUACAGACAGGGAUAGAAUCCAGUUCUCCAGAGCAGCAGUCAGCUGCUUUAACAUGAGAUCAUCCCUUCCCUUCCUGCAACCCCCUGCCUCCUUCACUACACACUUUCCAGCUUCUGCAACAAGCGAGGCAGGGAUCUUACCGACAACAGGCUCCCUCCCUGCACCGCACUGAUUCGUCUCCAGGGCAUCUCCUGUCUGUGCACUG